rnacentral:rRNA from 1 species
AGCAGCCGCGGUAAUUCCAGCUCCAAUAGCGUAUAUUAAAGUUGUUGCAGUUAAAAAGCUCGUAGUUGAAUUUCGGGAUUGACACAUCGGUCGUGUCUUAAGGGGUAUGAACUGGUGUAGUCAAUUUCUCACCUUCUGGAGAACCGCGAUGCCCUUAAUUGGGUGUCGCGGGGAACCAGGACCUUUACUUUGAAAAAAUUGAGUGUUUAAAGCAGGCAUUUUGCUUGAAUACAUUAGCAUGGAAUAAUAAAAUAGGACGGCAUGAUUCUAUUUUGUUGGUUUCUAGGAUCACCGUAAUGAUUAAUAGGGAUAGUUGGGGGCAUUAGUAUUCAAUUGUCAGAGGUGAAAUUCUUGGAUUUAUUGAAGACUAACUACUGCGAAAGCAUUUGCCAAGGAUGUUUUCAUUAAUCAAGAACGAAAGUUAGGGGAUCGAAGACGAUCAGAUACCGUCGUAGUCUUAACCAUAAACUAUAGCCGACUAGGAAUCAGACGAUGUAAUUUUUAAUGACUCGUUUGGCAC